rfam:Daphnia magna strain Xinb3 scaffold01581, whole genome shotgun sequence.
UAAAUGGCUCUUUUCAGGGCCACCAAAUGUUGAAAGAAUAGAAUCA